rnacentral:rRNA from 1 species
UACCAGCACCCCGAGUGGUCGUGACGAUUAUUGGGCCUAAAGCAUCCGUAGCCGGCCUUACAAGUCCUCCGUUAAAUCCAGCUGCUUAACAGAUGGGCUGCGGAGGAUACUAUAAGACUAGGAGGCAGGAGAGGCAAGCGGUACUCAGUGGGUAGGGGUAAAAUCCGUUGAUCCAUUGAAGACCACCAGUGGCGAAGGCGGCUUGCCAGAAUGCGCUCGACGGUGAGGGAUGAAAGCUGGGGGAGCAAACCGG